rnacentral:piRNA from 1 species
UGAUCUAUCAUAAGAGGUCAGGUUGUCUC